rnacentral:rRNA from 1 species
GAUGAACGCUGGCGGCGUGCCUAAUACAUGCAAGUCGAGCGAACGGACGAGAAGCUUGCUUCUCUGAUGUUAGCGGCGGACGGGUGAGUAACACGUGGAUAACCUACCUAUAAGACUGGGAUAACUUCGGGAAACCGUAGCUAAUACCGGAUAAUAUUUUGAACCGCAUGGUUCAAAAGUGAAAGACGGUCUUGCUGUCACUUAUAGAUGGAUCCGCGCUGCAUUAGCUAGUUGGUAAGGUAACGGCUUACCAAGGCAACGAUGCAUAGCCGACCUGAGAGGGGGAUCGGCCCACCUGGACCGGAGCCAGGGGCCAGGCCCCGAGGGGGGGCGGCAGGGGGGAAUAUUCCGAAAUGGGGGAAACCGGGAGGGAACAACCCCGGGUGAGUGAUGAAGGUCUGCGGGACGUAAAACCUUUUUAUUAGGGAAAAAAAUAUGGGAAAGUAACUGUGCAAAUCUUGAGGGAACCAAACAAAAAAGCCCGGGCAAACUCCGG